GUCAGUAUGCCCGAGUGGUCAAAGGGGCUAGACUUGAAUACUCUUCAUGCCAUCUAGUUCGUUCGCGAUCCUAGGUUCGAACCCUAGUGCUGACG